AUACGGGGGGUGCAAGCGUUAUUCGGAUUUAUUGGGCGUAAAGGGCGCGUAGGCGGCUUGGUAAGUCAGAUGUGAAAGCCCGGGGCUCAACCCCGGAAGUGCAUUUGAAACUAUCAGGCUUGAGUAUGGGAGAGGGAAGUGGAAUUCCUGGUGUAGAGGUGAAAUUCGUAGAUAUCAGGAGGAACACCGGUGGCGAAGGCGACUUCCUGGACCAAUACUGACGCUGAGGCGCGAAGGCGUGGGGAGCAAACAGGAUUAGAAACCCGUGUAGUCC
rnacentral:rRNA from 1 species